CCUACGGGUGGCAGCAGUGGGGGAUAUUGCACAAUGGGGGAAACCCUGAUGCAGCGACGCCGCGUGUGGGAAGACGGUCUUCUGGAUUGUAAACCACUGUCCCCAGGGACGAAAAUGACGGUACCUGGGGAGGAAGCUCCGGCUAACUACGUGCCAGCAGCCGCGGUAAUACGUAGGGAGCAAGCGUUGUCCGGAAUUACUGGGGGUAAAGGGAGCGUAGGCGGGGAUGCAAGGUGGGUGUCAAAACUACCGGCUCAACCGAUAGUCGCACUCAAAACUGGAGCUCUUGAGUGAAGUAGAGGCAGGCGGAAUUCCUGGUGUAGCGGUGAAAUGCGUAGAUAUUAGGAGGAACACCAGUGGCGAAGGCGGCCUGCUGGGCUUUUACUGACGCUGAGGCUCGAAAGUGUGGGGAGCAAACAGGAUUAGAUACCCGAGUAGUC
rnacentral:rRNA from 1 species